UGUCAAUAUAUUUCUUAAAAGGGCGUACAGGUCAAUAUAUUUGUUAGAUGAAUGAACUGGGGAUCUUGGUUAGGUGAUUGGGGCGUACAGGUCAAUAUAUUUGUUAGAUGAAUGAACUGGGGAUCUUGGUUAGGUGAUUGGGGCGUACAGGUCAAUAUAUUUGUUAGAUGAAUGAACUGGGGAUCUUGGUUAGGUGAUUGGGGCGUACAGGUCAAUAUAUUUGUUAGAUGAAUGAACUGGGGAUCUUGGUUAGGUGAUUGGGGCGUACAGGUCAAUAUAUUUGUUAGAUGAAUGAACUGGGGAUCUUGGUUAGGUGAUUGGGGCGUACAGGUCAAUAUAUUUGUUAGAUGAAUGAACUGGGGAUCUUGGUUAGGUGAUUGGGGCGUACAGGUCAAUAUAUUUGUUAGAUGAAUGAACUGGGGAUCUUGGUUAGGUGAUUGGGGCGUACAGGUCAAUAUAUUUGUUAGAUGAAUGGGGUAUAGGUGAAUAUAUGGAUGGACUGCAUAUAGCUUAAUAUAUUUUGUAGAUGAUUCUCCCUCAGGAUGUCUGUGUGUAUGACUUCACUGACUUUGACUUCAUGUUAUUGUACAGAUUUGACCUGUUCUAAUGGCAUUCAGGUAGGCUAGCGAUCUGAAGCCUCGCUCUAGUGCUGUAUACCUGUGAACUCUGACCCCUGAUGAACACAGAUUCACUUCCUCUUUUCCUGUUGUUGUUGUUUUCCGCCCUUCCAUUCCAGAUCUGCCUUCUUCAUGUGUUUUGAUGAUGAUGAUGAUGAUGCAGAAACUCUGAUGUAAAUACAGUCUGAUCUUAAAUUAUUACUUUAGACAGUUGUCUCUCUUAACUUUGUUUUACGUUAGUGUGUUUGUGUCAGCGAGUCAGGGCUCCGUCAUGUGCCAAUCUCCAUCUCCACGGAAACGCAGGAUUCUUACCUGUGAUGUAAUAUCAUAGGCUAUAUAUAAAUGCUGUAAAUAACAGUUUAUGAAGUGUUACUUGAUUCUAUGUCAUUAUUACAAUGAGGACUAUUUGAAUUAUUUCAUGUUAUACAGUUGAAGUCGGAAGUUUACAUACACUUAGGUUGGAGUCAUUAAAACUCGUUUUUCAACCACUCCACACAUUUCUUGUUAACAAAUUAUAGUUUUGGCAAGUCGGUUAGGACAUCUACUUUGUGCAUAACACAAGUCAUUUUUCCAACAAUUGUUUACAGACAGAUUAUUUCACUUAUAACUCACUGUAUCACAAUUCCAGUUGGUCAGAAGUUUACAUACACUAAAUUGACUGCCUUUAAACAGCUUGGAAAAUUCCAGAAAAUGAUGUAAUGGCUAUAAAAGCUUACUGAUAGGCUUCAUUUGAGUCCAUUUGAGGUGUACCUGUGGAUGUAUUUCAAGGCCUACCUUCAAACUCAGUGCCUCUUUGUUUGACAUCAUGAAAAAAAUAAAAAUAAAUCAAAAUAAAUCAGCCUGGACCUCAGAAAAAAAAUUGUAGACCAAGUCUGGUUCAUCCUUCCAAACACCUGAAGGUACCAUGUUCAUUUGUACAAACAAUAUUACACAAGUAUAAACACCAUGGGACCACGCAGAUGUCAUACCGCUCAGGGAGGAAGGGCGUUCUGUCUCCUAGAGAUGAACGUACUUCGGUGUGAAAUGUGCAAAUCAAUCCCAAAAAACACCAUCCCAACCAUGAAGCACGGGGGUGGCAGCAUCAUGUUGUGGGGGUGCUUUGCUGCAUGAGGGUCUAGUGCACUUCACAAAAUAGAUGGCAUCAUGAGGUAGGGAAAAUUAUGUGGAUAUAUUGAAGCAACAUCUCAAGACAUCAGUCAGGAAGUUAAAGCUUGGUCGCAAAUGGGUCUUCCAAAUGGACAAUGACCCCAAGCAUACUUCCAAGUUGUGGCAAAAUGGCUUAAGGACAAAAAGUCAAGGUAUUGGAGUGGCCAUCACAAAGCCCUGACCUCAAUCCUAUAGAACAUUUGUGGGCAGAACUGAGAAAGCAUGUGCAAGCAAGGAGGCCUACAAACCUGACUCAGCUACACCAGCUCUGUCAGGAGGAAUGGGCCAAAAUUCACCCAACUUAUUGUGGGAAGCUUGUGGAAGGAUACCCAAAACAUUUGACCCAAGUUAAACAAUUUAAAGGCAAUGCUACCAAAUACUAAUUGAGUUUAUAUAAAUUUCUGACCCACUGGGAAUGUGAUAAAAUAAAUAAAAGCUUAAACAAAUCCUUCUCUCUACUGUUAUUCUGACAGUUCACAUUCUUAAAAUAAACUGGUGAUGACGGGAAUUUUUACUUGGAUUAAAUUAAUUGUUUAAAGAAAUGUAGUUUAUAUGUAUUUGGCUAAGGUGUAUGUAAACUUCCGAUUUCAACUGGGGCAGCAGGGUAGCCUAGUGGUUAGUGUUGGACUAGUAAGUGAAAGGUUGCAAGUUCAAAUCCCCGAGCUGACAAGGUACAAAUCUGUCGUUUUGCCCCUGAACAGGCAGUUAACCCACCGUUCCUAGACCGUCAUUGAAAAUAAGAAUUUGUUCUUAACUGACUUGCCUAGUUAAAUAAAAUCAACUGUAUACUGUGGUUGUAGUUGAAUCAUCUUUUUCUCUCAUUUUCAUUGUGUUAUUGAAGGGCCCAAAACAUGCAGACCUACGGCUCAGACAGAGGAUAAAACCAAAAUGCUAUUUCAUCAUAAAAUUGAUACUAAUUCUGAAAUCAAAGACUGAAGUUACUGAAAUAUGUAUUUUUUGUUGUAGAAGGUGUAUACCAGUGGUGGUCUGUGUGUUAUCUAAAUGCUGUAUAGACCCUUCUGGAAAGAGAACACACUAUAUAAAAAUAUGUAUUUUUUGUGUAAUAAAUUUGGUUAAUUUGGCUCAA